AUUGAACGCUGGCGGCAGGCCUAACACAUGCAAGUCGAGCGGAGCGGCGGACGGGUGAGGAAUGCCUAGGAAUCUGAAUGGUAGUGGGGGAUAACGUCCGGAAACGGGCACUAAUGCCGCAUACUAUUGGAUGAGCCUAGGUCGGAUUAGCUAGUGGGUGGGGUAAGGGCCUACCAAGGCGACGAUCCGUAACUGGUCUGAGAGGAUGAUCAGUCAAACUGGAACUGAGACACGGUCCAGACUCCUACGGGAGGCAGCAGUGGGGAAUAUUGGACAAUGGGCGAAAGCCUGAUCCAGCCAUGCCGCGUGUGUGAAGAAGGUCUUCGGAUUGUAAAGCACUUUAAGUUGGGAGGCGUUACCAACAGAAUAAGCACCGGCUAACUUCGUGCCAGCAGCCGCGGUAAUUC
rnacentral:rRNA from 1 species